rnacentral:rRNA from 1 species
AUUGAACGCUGGCGGCAGGCCUAACACAUGCAAGUCGAGCGGAUGAAGAGAGCUUGCUCUCUGAUUUAGCGGCGGACGGGUGAGUAAUGCCUAGGAAUCUGCCUGGUAGUGGGGGAUAACGUUCCGAAAGGAACGCUAAUACCGCAUACGUCCUACGGGAGAAAGCAGGGGACCUUCGGGCCUUGCGCUAUCAGAUGAGCCUAGGUCGGAUUAGCUAGUUGGUGAGGUAAUGGCUCACCAAGGCGACGAUCCGUAACUGGUCUGAGAGGAUGAUCAGUCACACUGGAACUGAGACACGGUCCAGACUCCUACGGGAGGCAGCAGUGGGGAAUAUUGGACAAUGGGCGAAAGCCUGAUCCAGCCAUGCCGCGUGUGUGAAGAAGGUCUUCGGAUUGUAAAGCACUUUAAGUUGGGAGGAAGGGCAGUAAGUUAAUACCUUGCUGUUUUGACGUUACCGACAGAAUAAGCACCGGCUAACUUCGUGCCAGCCGCCGCGGUAAAAC